GCUCUGAUAGUAUAAUCUAUUACUUUGGUCUUGUAAACCAAGAAUGAAGAAAAAAAUCUUCUUAGAGCA
rnacentral:tRNA from 1 species